CAAAACAGGCAUUUCUAAAAGUUUAAUGCUCUCCCUUCCGCAUGAAAAUUUUAGUUAUCAGAGAGUAUGAAAUGCCCUUUAAAAUUUAAAGUUCCCAUAAAGUAUUUCAAAAAAUGAUAAAAGAGAAACAAUAGGCAAGCAGAACAGCGAAUAGGAACUAGUAUGGUUAAACAGAAUUAAGAGUGGAAAAGAUGCUGAUCCUGUGACGAUAGAUGUGUAGGGUCUUUAAGCUGAUUAAAACAUAAAUGAGCUACACAAAACUUGAGAAUAUAUGAAACUAAACCAGGACAAGAAGUUAACUUUACAUUAAUAUAUCAUUCAUAAAAGUAGACAAAGGGCUAUCUUUAUAUCCAUCUAAACAUCUGUAAAAUGUGUAUAUUAACAGCAAAUCUGCUAAUCAAGCUAUUAGUAAGCAAAUGGCAAUUAUUCCAAUCUAAUUCACAGCUCUCAGUGAUUUAAAUAGUAUGAAUAUUUUCUCAAUAUAGAAAAAUUAUAUAAUCUAUUAAAUAUAAUAGUCCUUUGGAAAUUAUGGGGCAUUUAGAAUACAGUUUAAUAAUCGAAUAUAUAAAAUGAAUAUGGACGAAAAAAUACAUGAUAAAAGUAUGAAAAAGUUAAUUAUCUUAAGAGUACUAGCUGCAGUUCUGGUCAAGUUACUCAUAUCUCAUAAGCAUUCAGAUAUCUUAAAGGAUAACUUGUUCUUAUUUUGAGUAGAUGACAUAUAAAAAACAUAUUUUGAAACUGAUAGAGAAUUCUAUUCUCUAAGGUUUCUUUUUCUUAGUUUUUUACUCCUCGAGUAAUCAGAUGGACACAGAUUCUUCAGAAGACACAUUUAGAGGAAAGACAGAUAAUCAAGGAAAACUGUGUGACAUUUUGAGAAUAAAUACUAAAAGAGGAAUUUGGUGCUAAAAAGAAGUUAUCAAGACAAAAAUAUUAGUUCUCUCAAAACUUAUAAGACCAACUAUUGAACCUAGAAAUAACCUGAACAUAAGAAAUGAACUAUUCUGUCAGGAAUAGAUAAAGAAAAGGGACACAAGAGACAGCUAACUAUGAAGUUUUAAAAAAGAAAAAAGGGCCAGGUGCAGUGGCUCAUGCCUGUAAUCCUAGCACUUUGGGAGGCUGAGGCAGGUGGAUCAUCUGAGGUAGGGAGUUCGAGACCAGCCCGGCCAACAUGGUGAAACUCC
rnacentral:lncRNA from 10 species